rnacentral:rRNA from 1 species
UACAGGGGGUGCAAACGUUGCUCGGAAUCAUUGGGCGUAAAGCGCACGUAGGCGGUCUGUUAUGUCAGAUGUGAAAGCCCUUGGCUUAACUGAGGAAGUGCAUCCGAAACUGGCAGGCUAGAGUACUAAAGAGGGUCGCGGAAUUCCCGGUGUAGAGGUGAAAUUCGUAGAUAUCGGGAGGAACACCGGUGGCGAAGGCGGCGACCUGGGUAGAUACUGACGCUGAGGUGCGAAAGCGUGGGGAGCAAACAGG